ensembl:lncRNA
UCCGAGCCUGCAGAGGCACCAGGCUUCCAGGCUCAGCAAAAGGAGGAUGUGGCCUCCGGCAGCUCCCCAAAGGCCUGGGACUUAGAGUCACUGCAGCACCAGCGCCUGGGACCUCAGCAACACUCAAUGUGAACAGAUGACCGGGUCGCCAGAGGGAGCUCUGUCCAUGCAGCAACUCCAUGCUGGGUCACAUUCUGGGAGCGGGCUGAUAGGGAGCUGACGCUUGCCCUCGUGUCUACUUUACUCUCACACCACGGCCUCCCUCACAAACUGCUGACGCCAGAGAGUGGUGAGGUGUUGGGAAAGCAGUCCUCAUGGCUCCAGUGAUCUCCACGACCUUCAGGUUCUCUCCUGGAUCCUCUGCCUGCCUUCAUCAGAUGGAGGAAAGAGGACGCUGAAAUGUCGUGCAGGAAGGUUUUUUGAGCCCAGUUUGGAAGUGGUGUCCACAAGCUGUUUGUCAUAGCUUGGUCACACUGGCUCAUGUGACGCUGUGGCCAGGCAGCCACUUUCUGGCAAUAAUUCUACACUAUGGAAGAGGAACAUUAGCCUUUGGUCAACAGCCAAGUGUUUUUGGACUUACACAGUGAGGAGGAGUGUAGUGGGGGCUUAGAAGCAAGAGAAAUGCAAGUGUGUGUGUGGUGGGGGGGCGGAAGGAGGGAAGGGAAAUGAUAGUAAAAGCCUCUCAGAAGAUUAAUAUUUAAACCAAGUUUUGGAAGAUCAUUAGGAUCUAUAUGAUAAAGAAUAGU